rnacentral:rRNA from 1 species
AACGAACGCUGGCGGCAUGCCUAACACAUGCAAGUCGAACGAGACCUUCGGGUCUAGUGGCGCACGGGUGCGUAACGCGUGGGAACCUGCCCUUAGGUUCGGAAUAACUCCCCGAAAGGGGUGCUAAUACCGGAUAAUGUCUUCGGACCAAAGAUUUAUCGCCUUUGGAUGGGCCCGCGUUGGAUUAGCUAGUUGGUAGGGUAAAAGCCUACCAAGGCGACGAUCCAUAGCUGGUCUGAGAGGAUGAUCAGCCACACUGGGACUGAGACACGGCCCAGACUCCUACGGGAGGCAGCAGUGGGGAAUAGUGGACGAGGGGCGAAAGCCUGAUCCAGCAAUGCCGCGUGAGUGAUGAAGGCCUUAGGGUUGUAAAGCUCGUUUACCCGGGAUGAUAAUGACAGUACCGGGAGAAUAAGCUCCGGCUAACUCCGUG